rnacentral:rRNA from 1 species
UACGUAGGGGGCGAGCGUUGUCCGGAUUUAUUGGGCGUAAAGAGCGUGUAGGCGGCCAGGUAGGUCUGCUGUGAAAACUCGAGGCUCAACCUCGAGACGUCGGCGGAAACCAUCUGGCUAGAGUCCGGAAGAGGAGAGUGGAAUUCCUGGUGUAGCGGUGAAAUGCGCAGAUAUCAGGAAGAACACCCGUGGCGAAGGCGACUCACUGGACAUGUAUUGACGCUGAGGUGCGAAAGCGUGGGGAGCAAACAGG